rnacentral:rRNA from 1 species
GUAGGUGGCAAGCGUUGUCCGGAAUUAUUGGGCGUAAAGCGCGCGCAGGCGGCUCUUUAAGUCUGAUGUGAAAGCCCACGGCUCAACCGUGGAGGGUCAUUGGAAACUGGAGAACUUGAGUACAGAAGAGGAAAGCGGAAUUCCACGUGUAGCGGUGAAAUGCGUAGAGAUGUGGAGGAACACCAGUGGCGAAGGCGGCUUUCUGGUCUGUAACUGACGCUGAGGCGCGAAAGCGUGGGGAGCAAACAGGAUUAGAUACCCUGGUAGUCCACGCCGUAAACGAUGAGUGCUAAGUGUUAGGGGGUUUCCGCCCCCCUUAGUGCUGCAGCUAACGCAUUAAGCACUCCGCCUGGGAGUACGGCCGCAAGGCUG